rnacentral:rRNA from 1 species
UGGUUUGAUUAUGGCUCAGGAUGAACGCUGGCGGCAUGCCUAAUACAUGCAAGUCGAACGGAGUGAAGCCUUCGGGUUUCAUUCAGUGGCGAACGGGUGAGUAAUACGCAGGGAACCUGGCCAUGGCAGGGGGAUACACUCUGGAAACGGAGCAUAAGACCCCAUAGGCAGUAAGGCGGCAUCGCCUUGCUGUUAAAGAAAGCUGAAAGGCUUUGGCGAUGGAUGGACCUGCGGUGCAUUAGCUUGUUGGUGAGGCAACGGCUUACCAAGGCGAUGAUGCAUAGCCGGCCUGAGAGGGCGGACGGCCACACUGGGACUGAGACACGGCCCAGACUCCUGCGGGAGGCAGCAGUAGGGAAUUUUCGUCAAUGGGCGCAAGCCUGAACGAGCAAUGCCGCGUGAGUGAGGAAGGUCUUCGGACUGUAAAGCUCUGUUGCCGGGGAAAAAGGGGAAAUGCAGGAAAUGGCAUUUCAUGGAUGGUACCCGGCCAGAAAGCCACGGCUAACUACGUGCCAGCAGCCGCGGUAAUACGUAGGUGGCGAGCGUUAUCCGGAAUGAUUGGGCGUAAAGGGUGCGCAGGCGGUCUGUUAAGUCUGAAGGCAAAGGGAUGAGCUCAACUCAUUUAUGAUUCAGAAACUGGCAGACUUGAGGACAGGAGAGGGCGGUGGAACUCCAUGUGUAGCGGUAAAAUGCGCAGAGAUAUGGAAGAACACCAGUGGCGAAGGCGGCCGCCUGGCCUGUGACUGACGCUGAGGCACGAAAGCGUGGGGAGCAAAUAGGAUUAGAUACCCUAGUAGUCCACGCCGUAAACGAUGAGGAGCAGGUGUUGGGAGUGAAAUCUCAGUGCCGAAGCCAACGCAGUGACUCCUCCGCCUGGGGAGUAUGCACGCAAGUGUGAAACUCAAAGGAAUUGACGGGGGCCCGCACAAGCGGUGGAGUAUGUGGUUUAAUUCGAAGCAACGCGAAGAACCUUACCAGGUUUUGACAUCGGAUGCGAAGGCGCAGAGAUGCGCUGGAGGCUAUCAUCCAGACAGGUGGUGCAUGGUUGUCGUCAGCUCGUGUCGUGAGAUGUUCAGUUAAGUCUGGCAACGAGCGCAACCCCCGUGGUAUGUUACUAACGCAUUUGGGCGAGGACUCAUAUCAGACUGCCGGUGACAAACCGGAGGAAGGCGGGGAUGACGUCAAAUCAUCAUGCCCCUUAUGGCCUGGGCUACACACGUACUACAAUGGCGUCUACAGAGGGAAGCGACCCUGAGAAGGGAAGCGAAACCGGAAAAGGGCGUCCCAGUUCGGAUUGAAGUCUGCAACCCGACUUCAUGAAGAUGGAAUCGCUAGUAAUCGCGGAUCAGCAUGCCGCGGUGAAUACGUUCCCGGGCCUUGUACACACCGCCCGUCAAACCAUGGAAGCCGGCAACGCCCGAAGCCGGUGGCAUAACCUUUUAGGAGUGAGCCGUCGAAGGCGGGGCCGAUGACUGGGGUUAAGUCGUAACAAGGUACCC